AGAUUGAACGCUGGCGGCAGGCCUAACACAUGCAAGUCGAACGGUAGCACAGGGGAGCUUGCUCCCUGGGUGACGAGUGGCGGACGGGUGAGUAAUGUCUGGGAAACUGCCUGAUGGAGGGGGAUAACUACUGGAAACGGUAGCUAAUACCGCAUAACGUCUUCGGACCAAAGUGGGGGACCUUCGGGCCCCAUGCCAUCAGAUGUGCCCAGAUGGGAUUAGCUAGUAGGUGGGGUAAAGGCUCACCUAGGCGACGAUCCCUAGCUGGUCUGAGAGGAUGACCAGCCACACUGGAACUGAGACACGGUCCAGACUCCUACGGGAGGCAGCAGUGGGGAAUAUUGCACAAUGGGCGCAAGCCUGAUGCAGCCAUGCCGCGUGUAUGAAGAAGGCCUUCGGGUUGUAAAGUACUUUCAGCGGGGAGGAAGGGGAUAAGGUUAAUAACCUUGUUCAUUGACGUUACCCGCAGAAGAAGCACCGGCUAACUCCGUGCCAGCAGCCGCGGUAAUACGGAGGGUGCAAGCGUUAAUCGGAAUUACUGGGCGUAAAGCGCACGCAGGCGGUCUGUCAAGUCGGAUGUGAAAUCCCCGGGCUCAACCUGGGAACUGCAUUCGAAACUGGCAGGCUUGAGUCUUGUAGAGGGGGGUAGAAUUCCAGGUGUAGCGGUGAAAUGCGUAGAGAUCUGGAGGAAUACCGGUGGCGAAGGCGGCCCCCUGGACAAAGACUGACGCUCAGGUGCGAAAGCGUGGGGAGCAAACAGGAUUAGAUACCCUGGUAGUCCACGCCGUAAACGAUGGAUACUAGGUGUGGGGGGUAUUGACCCCCUCCGUGCCGCAGUCAACACAAUAAGUAUCCCACCUGGGGAGUACGGCCGCAAGGUGAA
rnacentral:rRNA from 1 species